rnacentral:rRNA from 1 species
AUUGAACGCUGGCGGCAGGCUUAACACAUGCAAGUCGAGCGAGCGGCGGACGGGUGAGUACUGUCUGGGAAACUGCCUGAUGGUGGGGGAUAACUACUGGAAACGGUAGCUAAUACCGCAUACCAUCAGAUGUGCCCAGACGGGAUUAGCUAGUAGGUGGGGUAAUGGGUCACCGAGGCGACGAUCCCUAGCUGGUCCGAGAGGAUGACAGGCCACACUGGAACAGAGACACGGUCAGGACUCCUACGGGAGGCAGCGGGGGGGAAUUGUGCACAAUGGGCGCAAGCGUGAUGGAGCCAUGCCGCGUGUGUGAAGAGGGCCUUCGGGUUGUAAAGUACUUUCAGCGAGGAGGCGGUACUCGCAGAAGAAGCACCGGCUAACUCCGUGCCAGCAGCCGCGGUAAUUC